AUAUAAGAUGUAACAUAUUCAUCAAGCUGACCCAACAAAUCAGGAACAUGACUUAUUAUUAUUUUAUUUUAUUUUUUUUUUUUAUGCAUAUCUUUUUUUGUUUUUCCUUUUUCUUUUUUAAUAGGCCAUAUACUCAAUGCACAAAACAAAUUAUUAUGAUACAUUAAAUUAUACUUCAUUAAACAAAAUACGAUUUUACACAAAAAGAUCUUUUAAUUAUAAUUAUCCCAAAAACACUCAAAUGCGUUUUCAAAUUGAGUACGAAGUAGAAUACAAAUACUAUGAACAUGAGUGUCAUGUUCUGACUAAGAAAUUAAAAAAUGAUUACUACAAGGGAAAUCGUGAUUAUAAACAAAAAUUAAAUUAUGAAGAAAUUCCAGAAAGUUGCAUAAAACUGAAAAAUUUAGAGGAUCAAUACAACGACUACAUUUUGAAAAUGAAAAGGAGAUGACAAAAAAAAAAAAAAAAAAAAAAAUCCAUUAAUUUGAUAAAUUAAUUUUUAAAAAUUAAAAUAAGCUGUUAAAAAAAAUAUACACAUAUAUAUCCAUAUAUAUAUAUGUAUGUACUAUUUUUUUUUUUUUUUUUUUUUUUUGUUGUUGUUUUUUUGGAUUUUAAUGUUUGGGUAUUUUAUUUUGCCCAUAUUAUCAAUCAAAUAUUUGUUAAUAAGUUUUUAAAUGCACAAAAUUUCAUCUAAUUUAACUAUUAUAUGAAUACACGUUUAUGUUUUAGUUGUUACAAAAAUAUACACGUCUCUCAAGCACUUAUUAAUAUAUACAUAUAUAUAUAUAUAUACACAUGCACUUCAUUUUUCAUUCAAAACGUUUAUUUAUGUUUUUAUGUUUCCUUUUUCUUUUUUCGUUUAUUUAUUUGCAAUUAUAACAUCAAUUAUUUUUUAAAUUAGAAAUUAUAUAUGAGUAUGAUUAAAAAAUAGAAAUACAACACUACUACAUAUAUUUAUAUAUAUGUAUGUAUAUGUACAUAUGUAUAAAAAGUCUUUUUUAGGGUUAAAUAUUAGUUCCCUAUUUUUAGUAUUCAAAAUUUAUUCGCCCUCUAUGUGCUCCAUCUUGUUAUUUUAUUUUGCAACUACAUACAAACACAUAUAUAUAUAUAUAUAUAUAUAUGUAUAUUAUGUAGUUUUUUGCCAUUUGUUAUAUACUAAAUAGCAAGUAACACAUUUUUUAAAUUGUUAAUGUUGCAUAGUUUUUUUUUUUUUUUUUUUUUUUUUUACAUUUUAAACCCAUGGUUAUAUAUAUAUAUAUAUAUAUAUCCAUGUGUGAAUAUGUAUGUAUAUAUUGUAAACAAUCAUAUGUGAUCAAAUAAUAUUUGAUGCUAAUUUUUUUUUUCUUAUUUUUAAUAUUA
rnacentral:lncRNA from 1 species